rnacentral:rRNA from 1 species
GACGAACGCUGGCGGCGUGCUUAACACAUGCAAGUCGAACGGUGAAGCGCCUUCCUUUUUGGUGGGUGUGGAUGAGUGGCGAACGGGUGAGUAACACGUGAGUAACCUGCCCCCUUCUUCUGGAUAACCGCAUGAAAGUGUGGCUAAUACGGGAUAUUCUGGGUCUGUCGCAUGAUGGGUCUGGGAAAGAUAUUGUUUCGGUGGGGGAUGGGCUCGCGGCCUAUCAGCUUGUUGGUGGGGCGAUGGCCUACCAAGGCGGUGACGGGUAGCCGGCCUGAGAGGGUGGACGGUCACACUGGGACUGAGACACGGCCCAGACUCCUACGGGAGGCAGCAGUGGGGAAUAUUGCACAAUGGGCGCAAGCCCGAUGCAGCGACGCCGCGUGAGGGAUGGAGGCCUUCGGGUUGUGAACCUCUUUCGCCAGUGAAGCAGGCCUGCCUCGUUUGUGGGUGGGUUGACGGUAGCUGGAUAAGAAGCGCCGGCUAACUACGUG